rnacentral:tRNA from 1 species
GGGCUUGUAGCUCAGCUUGGAUAGAGCAGCGCCGUCCUAAGAAGGCGAAGGUCAUGAGUUCAAAUCUCAUCUAGCCCG